rnacentral:lncRNA from 1 species
CUUAUUAUCCGUCAUUUCUCUUCUCCAGUUUAACUUCUCUAUAGUCCUGAUAAUGGAGCCAUAGGUUACAGACAAAUCACAAACUUUAUUGCACAAAACAAAGCCAUAACGGUUUACAAUUCAACUAUUGUGUCCAAUUACUGCUAUGCUGGAACUACAUGGAUAGGAUUUGAUGACACUCAAUCCAUUGCCGCCGAGGUUUCGUAUGCUAAGCAAAAAGGGUUGCUUGGUUACUUAGCAUGGCAUGUUGGAGUAGAUAACAAUUGGGCUCUCUCUCAACAAGGUAAGUAUCUCGAUCUUUUAAUAAACAUGCUUUUCUUUUGGUAAAUGGUAAGGUGAGUUAGACAGUAGAAAUAAGGGAAUCUAAAAUCUCCUCAAUUGAACUUGAUGAAUACUCCAACUAAUACUGUGUACCAAACAUGCCUUUAUGAGAUUGACAGCAAAAAGCUUAUGUUGAAGAACACUUAUCAAGCACAUUACAAGCUGUUCUGAUCUUUGAUUUGUGACUACAGCUAAACAAUCAUGGGGAGCCUAAUAUAUGGUGAUAAGAGAUUCAUGGGAUUAUGGAUGUAUCGAAGAUUGAUGUAACUGGUGUUAUAGAAUAAGCCUAAAGGGCAGUUGUAUUGAAUAACAUUACUAAUGUCUUAAGCCUGAUCAGUUUCCUCUUCCGCAAUUUUUAGUAGGCUAGAUCAUUAAGAAGACAUUGACGUCAAUCGACUAUUCCCAUAUUCUUUGAGCAUUACACUACAACAAUUAUGGACAAGAAAUUUAGAUGAAUAAUUCAGAAAAAUGAAACUGCAUAAAAAAAGAGAAUGAAAGAAUACCUGUUCUGCUUGACAGGAAGAAGCAAACAUUUGAAAUUAAAAAUAAAUUUUCAC